rnacentral:lncRNA from 1 species
ACAAAAGUCACCACCGCCGCGCCGAGCUCUCAUCCUCUGAGCUGACCAUUAGCUCGUGGACCAGGGGCAGAGGGGAAAACCCCCAAUUUUUUCUUAAAUUAAUAUGCAUUUUCCAGCGAUUUCGAACAAGCAAUGGCAAAUCCUGAUGAUUCUUCGUGUUUUCUUAUGUUUUCCCAGCAAAUCACUGGUGGAGAUUCAAUUUGCGGGGAUCAUUACCCGCCUCAUCGGCGUUUGAGGGCUGCAAGAUCUACGCCUUUUGAGAAUUAGGGGAAUCGCAAAAAUCCGGUGCUCUGUCGCCGUUU